UACGUAGGGUGCAAGCGUUGUCCGGAAUUAUUGGGCGUAAAGAGCUCGUAGGCGGUCUGUCGCGUCGGAUGUGAAAAUCCAGGGCCCAACCCUGGACCUGCAUUCGAUACGGGCAGACUAGAGUUCGGUAGGGGAGACUGGAAUUCCUGGUGUAGCGGUGAAAUGCGCAGAUAUCAGGAGGAACACCGGUGGCGAAGGCGGGUCUCUGGGCCGAAACUGACGCUGAGGAGCGAAAGCGUGGGGAGCAAACAGG
rnacentral:rRNA from 1 species